AUGGACAUGAGGGCCUAUGCUCAGUUUCUUGGGUUCUUGUUGCUGUGGUUUCCAGGUGCCAGUUGCGACAUCCAGAUGACCCAGUCUCCGUCCUCCAUGUCUGCAUCUCUGGGAGACACAGUCACUAUUAAUUGUCUGGCAAGUCAGGACAUUGGGAACUAUUUAAGCUGGUACCAGCAGAAACCAGGAAAAUCUCCUAAGCUCAUGAUUUAUGGUGCAACCAACUUGGAAGAUGGGGUCCCAUCAAGGUUCAGUGGCAGUAGGUCUGGGUCAGAUUAUUCUCUCACCAUCAAUAGCCUGGGGCAUGAUGAUGAAGGAAUCUAUCACUGUCAUCAAUAUUAUGAGGCACCUACAUAUGUAAAAGAAACCUUACUAAAG